GAAAUCCUGCAGCCGCCUAUGGUGAGUAGAGUUAUGGAACUACUCUACAUAAGGAACAGGCUGACUACUGGCUGCCUGAUGAUCAGUAGCAGGCGGCUGAAACUCGGCCCGUAUUGAGGUCCCACUAUUUUGAUCAGUGAGCUGUUACUUCAAGACAAUAGCAUAAAUAAUGAUUAUAUACAUUCAAAUUUGUUAAUAAAUUGACUUUUAUUUCUGUAAGAAUGAGUAAAACUGCCUCUCUCAA